rnacentral:rRNA from 1 species
AGCGAACGCUGGCGGCAGGCUUAACACAUGCAAGUCGAGCGGGCAUCUUCGGAUGUCAGCGGCAGACGGGUGAGUAACACGUGGGAACGUACCCUUCGGUUCGGAACAACUCUGGGAAACUGGAGCUAAUACCGGAUACGCCCUUAUGGGGAAAGGUUUACUGCCGAAGGAUCGGCCCGCGUCUGAUUAGCUAGUUGGUGGGGUAACGGCCUACCAAGGCGACGAUCAGUAGCUGGUCUGAGAGGAUGAUCAGCCACACUGGGACUGAGACACGGCCCAGACUCCUACGGGAGGCAGCAGUGGGGAAUAUUGGACAAUGGGCGCAAGCCUGAUCCAGCCAUGCCGCGUGAGUGAUGAAGGCCUUAGGGUUGUAAAGCUCUUUUGUCCGGGACGAUAAUGACGGUACCGGGAGAAUAAGCCCCGGCUAACUUCGUG